rnacentral:rRNA from 1 species
AUUGAACGCUGGCGGCAGGCCUAACACAUGCAAGUCGAACGAGUGGCGGACGGGUGAGUAAUGUCUGGGAAACUGCCCGAUGGAGGGGGAUAACUACUGGAAACGGUAGCUAAUACCGCAUACCAUCGGAGGUGCACAGAUUGGAUUAGCUAGUAGGUGGGGUAACGGCUCACCUAGGGGACGAUCCCUAGCUGGUCUGAGAGGAUGACGAGCCACACUGGAACUGGUACACGGUCCAGACUCCUACGGGAGGCAGCAGUGGGGCAUAUUGCACAAUGGGCGCUAGCCUGAUGCAGCCAUGCCGCGUGUAUGAAGAAGGCCUUCGGGUUGUAAAGUACUUUCAGCGGGGAGUCGUUACCCGCAGAAGAAGCACCGGCUAACUCCGUGCCAGCAGCCGCGGUAAUUC